GGUCCUCUCACAUCUUUGAACUUCUCUUAGUAGCUAUUGAACACAAGGAAAUGCAAUAUUGGUAUCAUAUGCUGUUAAAAUUUACGCAUUACUAGCUUAUGAUAGUUAUAUAGCAACUGAAGCAACCUGGCACUUGGUGUUUUCAGCAAAUUGUGUUCCAUGAAUUGUUUUUCUUUUUCUAUCAAAAUAAAUGUUUAAAAUUUUGGAUUCAACUAUACUCUCUAAUAACAUGUUUUUGAAUAUGUAGAAUAUGAGCCUAUGAAUAUUGUUAAAAUGCUCAAGAAUAGUAAUUUUGAUUUGAACUUUGUAUUUGCAAGAAUUUUCCAAGAAUCCCGCUAAAAGAAGGGUUUUUCGGUAGUGCAUAUCGAUAAUAUGAAAGUAUAUCACAAAUCCUUUUCAUAUUAUUCAAUUUCAAGAAGUCGAAGUAAACGAAGAACUUUCUUAUGAGGAGAAACCUGUUAAGAUUAUAGGUACUCCGCUGAGUAAGCUUCACACUAAGGAGAUUCUAAUAGUAAAAGUGUUGUGGAGGAUUCACUCAAUAGAGAAAUGUAUUUGGGAGACGAAGUCGGAUAUGCGACAACAAUAUCCUUACCAAUUUUCACAAGAUAAUGUUUUUGACGUGACCAGGCUUCAUGUCCUUGCUUCGGAAGCCGUUUUGUGUAGUGUCACUCUAGAGCUGCGUAGUUCAGUCUAUCCAACAUUAGUUCAUUUUACAUAGUUUACUCUGAUCAAACUGUUGUUGUUGUAUAUUGUUUUGAAAGGCUGCGUGUUUAUGUAAAAUGUUUUGACCAGUUGUUUGAUAUGUUAAACUGGUUGGACAGUUUUGUAUUUGAAAUAGGGCGAUUAUGUUAUAUGAGAUUUAUUCUUACGCCCUAAUGUCUAGAAAUACGAUCAACGUUUUGUGA